GGAGCAAAGGCAUGGCAGGAGGAGAGAACUGCGUGUGUGAGGAAUAAAAACAACAUGUUGCAAUUGAGGAAGGCGUGAAUUUAUGGGGAGAAUACAGAGAUGAAGACUUAAAACGAAUGGAAGGCCAAGGAGAUGAAAUGGAAGACUUUGGACAGAACUUCUGGGAAAGCUCUUUAAAGCAGUCUACUAGACUGGCAAGCAGACAUUCAUUCUCCUCUUCUGACUUAGACAUGGUAUUUUUAGCUCCAGCAGCCGUCCUGUGAAGAUGGGAGCACACGCUAAGGGCAGCAGAAAAGAAAGCCAGAAGGAGGUUGGAUAUUGAUAACCACCGUGGUGCCAUCUUACCAGCCCUCGGCCACCUACCCCAGCCUUCCGGUUAUGAGAAAGAAAAACAAAAUUAGCUUAAGCUACUAUUAUGUAGAGGUCUCAAUUCCUAAGAGUUUAAUGCAUUUCCUUAAACACAUAUGCAUGUUGCAGAAUGCCCAGCUGGAAAUUAAACUUUUUAAAAAUUUAUUAAUUUAUUUAGAGAAGGGGAAUCUCACUAUGUUGCCCAGGCUGGCCUCAAACUCCUGGGCUCAAGUGAACCUCCUGCCUCAGCCUCCCGAGUAACUGGGACUACAGGCAUGUACCACCAUGCACGGCUGAAAUUAAACUUUGUGGGUGUUUUUCAGGUCUGGAAAAGGGGUACCAGAAAGUCAACUUGGCUUUUUCACCUGCCUAGUCCAAUCUCUUGAGCCAUCAAAAUAUCUCUCUCCAUCUUCAGUGCUGCUUAAGGUUUCUGGAGACUUACCUGGGUAGCCAAGGCUGGGAGAGUGAGGAAUAGCUCUAUUAUCUGGUAAGGAGAUUUGUAAUCAGCCCCUUCAUGUUUUCAGAAAUCCAGACAGAGCCCUAGAGAGAGACUGGGGAAGGGAAUGCAGUUGGGGCUCUAGAUUCAUGUAUUUGUAGGGAGAUUUCUAAAUAUUGUGUGUCUACUGUAUGCCAGGCAGUGUCUAGGCACUGGGGUGCAGCAAUGAAUGAAAGAUAAGAUCCCUGCCCUCAUGGAGUUUGCACUCUACUGGGGCCUGUGGAAGGAAGCUGAGCUGUGUUACAGAAUCACCCCAGUUGAGGUGACUGUGCAGGUGAAUAUGGAGACAAAAUCUACUCUCUGACCUCAGCCAGUGAGGGUGCUACAGCCUGCCAUAGAGCCCUGCACUCUUUCAGAGAGGGUUUCUCUCCCAGGCCAGCUGUCACUCUAAUCUGCCCUCCCCACUGUGAUCCCAGCUGGACACAUGGCUCACUGGUUUUUCUGUUACUUUGUAAGUGCAGAUAAGAACUCUAUUCCUCACACUUUGGGGACAGAACAGAGUAAGCUGGGGUACACUGAGCUUGGAGAAGGGGAAGUACGGGUCUGGCUAAAUAUUUAUAAAAUCUUGAUUUUUUUUCCUAAGGACAGAAGUCAAAUAGAAUAUAUACACUGAUUACAACCACUUAUUCAUUCAUUCAUUUUAUAAUGAAUAUAGAAUAUGACCAGCAAUGUGCUGGGCACUUGAUCUUAUUCACUUCCACAGAAACCCUGGGAGCAAAGUACUGUUAUCUUCAUUUUACAAACAAGGAGAUCAAUGCU
rnacentral:lncRNA from 1 species